CUACGUGCCAGCAGCCGCGGUAAUACGUAGGUGGCAAGCGUUAUCCGGAUUUUAUUGGGCGUAAAGAGAGUGCAGGCGGUUUUCUAAGUCUGAUGUGAAAGCCUUCGGCUUAACCGGAGAAGUGCAUCGGAAACUGGAUAACUUGAGUGCAGAAGAGGGUAGUGGAACUCCAUGUGUAGCGGUGGAAUGCGUAGAUAUAUGGAAGAACACCAGUGGCGAAGGCGGCUACCUGGUCUGCAACUGACGCUGAGACUCGAAAGCAGUGGGUAGCGAACAGGAUUAGACUACCCUGGUAG
rnacentral:rRNA from 1 species